CUAACUCCCGCCUGAUAGGAUUCCCAUCUAAUUAAUCGUGGCCGCGUGCAGAGGGGGCCGCGACGCAUCGACUACCGAUGGCGAUUCCAUCUACUGCCACCGGCACCGACGGGCGUCCGAUUCCUGGCGCCGGCACCACCGACGGGCGUCCAGUUCCUGGUGCGGCCACCACCGACGGGCAUCUGGUUCCUGGCGCCGCCGCCACCGAUGGCUGUCUGGUUCCUGGAGGCACCUGGGUCAAAUCGGCUCAUGAUGUUGGCGCCGCCGGCGACAAAGCGACCAAGGGCGCCGGCUACAAAUGGACCAUGGGCGCCGGCGACAAAGGGACCAAAGGGCGCCGACGAACGUCGUCAUCCUUCUCAGGUCCCUGGGCUCAAUCCGGACAAUGAGUUAACGUUACAUCCUCCACAGACCCGUCUCACUGGUGAGAUAUGGACUGUAAUUAUCCAUCACAAUGGGGAGCCUGAUCCAGAUAAACAAACCGUCGAGCUCGAAUGUGGAAUAGAAUUAGUUGCGAGGAAAUAAUAGAAUUUGAAAGUUCAAGAUAUUUGAACAUAUAAAUGGAUCACUCGGACUUGGAUGCCUUUCAUGGUCAACACAAAGAAUCAUGGAGUGCUGACCAGUGCUUGCUCUAGCCUACAUAAGAUAGAUGUUGUCAUAGUCUUGGUUACCCAACACUAGUUAUUUAUGAACUAUUUUGAAUUUGGAUAAUGUAUUGGGCACUUUACGUACUAUUUUUUACCUAUUGGAACAAUUGUUCAUGGAUUCAUGUAUAUUAUCUGAAUAUAUCAGAUGCGAUAUGCAUUCCAACACAGAUCUUGCUGAUGCAAAAAUAACUAAA